rnacentral:rRNA from 1 species
UUAAGCGACUAAGCGUACACGGUGGAUGCCCUGGCAGUCAGAGGCGAUGAAGGACGUGCUAAUCUGCGAAAAGCGCCGGCGAGGUGAUAUGAACCUUUGACCCGGCGAUGUCCGAAUGGGGAAACCCAGUGCAAUCCGUUGCACUAUCGUUAACUGAAUACAUAGGUUAACGAGGCGAACCGGGGGAACUGAAACAUCUAAGUACCCCGAGGAAAAGAAAUCAACCGAGAUUCCCCCAGUAGCGGCGAGCGAACGGGGAGCAGCCCGGAGUCUGAAUCAGCUUGUGUGUUAGUGGAACGGUCUGGAAAGUCCGACGGUACAGGGUGAUAGUCCCGUACACGAAAAUGCACAGGUUGUGAACUCGAAGAGUAGGGCGGGACACGUGGUAUCCUGUCUGAAUAUGGGGGGACCAUCCUCCAAGGCUAAAUACUCCUGACUGACCGAUAGUGAACCAGUACCGUGAGGGAAAGGCGAAAAGAACCCCGGCGAGGGGAGUGAAAAAGAACCUGAAACCGUGUACGUACAAGCAGUGGGAGCCUCUUUAUGGGGUGACUGCGUACCUUUUGUAUAAUGGGUCAGCGACUUAUAUUCUGUAGCAAGGUUAACCGUAUAGGGGAGCCGAAGGGAAACCGAGUCUUAACUGGGCGUUAAGUUGCAGGGUAUAGACCCGAAACCCGGUGAUCUAGCCAUGGGCAGGUUGAAGGUUGGGUAACACUAACUGGAGGACCGAACCGACUAAUGUUGAAAAAUUAGCGGAUGACCUGUGGCUGGGGGUGAAAGGCCAAUCAAACCGGGAGAUAGCUGGUUCUCCCCGAAAGCUAUUUAGGUAGCGCCUCGUGAACUCAUCUUCGGGGGUAGAGCACUGUUUCGGCUAGGGGGCCAUCCCGGCUUACCAACCCGAUGCAAACUACGAAUACCGAAGAAUGUUAUCACGGGAGACACACGGCGGGUGCUAACGUCCGUCGUGAAGAGGGAAACAACCCAGACCGCCAGCUAAGGUCCCAAAGUCAUGGUUAAGUGGGAAACGAUGUGGGAAGGCACAGACAGCCAGGAUGUUGGCUUAGAAGCAGCCAUCAUUUAAAGAAAGCGUAAUAGCUCACUGGUCGAGUCGGCCUGCGCGGAAGAUGUAACGGGGCUAAACCAUGCACCGAAGCUGCGGCAGCGACACUAUGUGUUGUUGGGUAGGGGAGCGUUCUGUAAGCCGUUGAAGGUGUGCUGUGAGGCAUGCUGGAGGUAUCAGAAGUGCGAAUGCUGACAUAAGUAACGAUAAAGCGGGUGAAAAGCCCGCUCGCCGGAAGACCAAGGGUUCCUGUCCAACGUUAAUCGGGGCAGGGUGAGUCGACCCCUAAGGCGAGGCCGAAAGGCGUAGUCGAUGGGAAACAGGUUAAUAUUCCUGUACUUGGUGUUACUGCGAAGGGGGGACGGAGAAGGCUAUGUCAGCCGGGCGACGGUUGUCCCGGUUUAAGCAUGUAGGCGGAGGUUCCAGGUAAAUCCGGUACCUUAUUAACGCUGAGGUGUGAUGACGAGGCACUACGGUGCUGAAGUGAUAAAUGCCCUGCUUCCAGGAAAAGCCUCUAAGCAUCAGGUAACACGAAAUCGUACCCCAAACCGACACAGGUGGUCAGGUAGAGAAUACCAAGGCGCUUGAGAGAACUCGGGUGAAGGAACUAGGCAAAAUGGUGCCGUAACUUCGGGAGAAGGCACGCUGAUAUGUAGGUGAGGUCCCUGCGGACGGAGCUGAAAUCAGUCGAAGAUACCAGCUGGCUGCAACUGUUUAUUAAAAACACAGCACUGUGCAAACACGAAAGUGGACGUAUACGGUGUGACGCCUGCCCGGUGCCGGAAGGUUAAUUGAUGGGGUUAGCGGCAACGCGAAGCUCUUGAUCGAAGCCCCGGUAAACGGCGGCCGUAACUAUAACGGUCCUAAGGUAGCGAAAUUCCUUGUCGGGUAAGUUCCGACCUGCACGAAUGGCGUAAUGAUGGCCAGGCUGUCUCCACCCGAGACUCAGUGAAAUUGAACUCGCUGUGAAGAUGCAGUGUACCCGCGGCAAGACGGAAAGACCCCGUGAACCUUUACUAUAGCUUGACACUGAACACUGGUCCUUGAUGUGUAGGAUAGGUGGGAGGCUUUGAAGCGUGGACGCCAGUCUGCGUGGAGCCAACCUUGAAAUACCACCCUUUAAUGGCUGGUGUUCUAACGUAGACCCGUAAUCCGGGUUGCGGACAGUGUCUGGUGGGUAGUUUGACUGGGGCGGUCUCCUCCCAAAGAGUAACGGAGGAGCACGAAGGUUGGCUAAUCCUGGUCGGACAUCAGGAGGUUAGUGCAAUGGCAUAAGCCAGCUUGACUGCGAGCGUGACGGCGCGAGCAGGUGCGAAAGCAGGUCAUAGUGAUCCGGUGGUUCUGAAUGGAAGGGCCAUCGCUCAACGGAUAAAAGGUACUCCGGGGAUAACAGGCUGAUACCGCCCAAGAGUUCAUAUCGACGGCGGUGUUUGGCACCUCGAUGUCGGCUCAUCACAUCCUGGGGCUGAAGUAGGUCCCAAGGGUAUGGCUGUUCGCCAUUUAAAGUGGUACGCGAGCUGGGUUUAGAACGUCGUGAGACAGUUCGGUCCCUAUCUGCCGUGGGCGCUGGAGAAUUGAGGGGGGCUGCUCCUAGUACGAGAGGACCGGAGUGGACGCAUCACUGGUGUUCGGGUUGUCAUGCCAAUGGCACUGCCCGGUAGCUAAAUGCGGAAGAGAUAAGUGCUGAAAGCAUCUAAGCACGAAACUUGCCCCGAGAUGAGUUCUCCCUGAGACCUUGAGUCUCCUGAAGGAACGUUGAAGACGACGACGUUGAUAGGUCGGGUGUGUAAGCGCAGCGAUGCGUUGAGCUAACCGAUACUAAUGAACCGUGAGGCUUAACCUU